rnacentral:rRNA from 1 species
UACGAAGGGGGCUAGCGUUGCUCGGAAUCACUGGGCGUAAAGGGUGCGUAGGCGGGUCUUUAAGUCAGGGGUGAAAUCCUGGAGCUCAACUCCAGAACUGCCUUUGAUACUGAGGAUCUUGAGUCCGGGAGAGGUGAGUGGUACUGCGAGUGUGGAGGUGAAAUUCGUAGAUAUUCGCAAGAACACCAGUGGCGAAGGCGGCUCACUGGCCCGGUACUGACGCUGAGGUGCGAAAGCGUGGGGAGCAAACAGG